CUAGUGUGUAUUUGUUAUUUGAGUUAAUAGGCAUGGAUAUAUGAAUAUUUUCCAAGAUUUAGGCCAACGGAAAAUGGGAAUUGGGCGAAACAACCCCCAUAUGCUGCAAGAUGGGUACCUGGAAAGAUGAAAAAGACGAAUGAUGAUUUACUAAUUUACAGAGCUGCGUUAGAUUGCAUGACGGUGGAUGAGGUUACUUGGACCCCCUUUACAAGAGAUCCGAGCAAAGAUGUUCCAAUUUCGCGAUAUUGUGGAAUCAUUCACUGUCGGUCCAUUACUGAGCCAUACAUGCCUAUUCGAGUUUUAAGACAAUUUGGAUAUGUUCAAGUGAUACCUCCAUGUCCUUUUGUUCCUAAUAAAGUGUAUAGGGGAUCCAAUAUACAUAAAUAUAAUUGUGUACAUGAUCCGAUGAUUACAAAUUGGAGAACAUGGCAACAACAUUUGAUGCAA